CCUACGGGCGGCAGCAGUGGGGAAUUUUGGACAAUGGGCGCAAGCCUGAUCCAGCUAUUCCGCGUGUGGGAUGACGGCCCUCGGGUUGUAAACCACUUUAGUAGAGAACGAAAAGGAGCUAUCGAAUAAAUAGCUCUGCUGACGGUACUCUAAGAAUAAGCACCGGCUAACUACGUGCCAGCAGCCGCGGUAAUACGUAGGGUGCGAGCGUUAAUCGGAAUUACUGGGCGUAAAGGGUGUGCAGGCGGCUGAGUAAGACAGCGGUAAAAGCCCGGGGCUCAACCCCGGCGAGCCGUUGAAACUGGCUGUCUUGAGAUGUCUAGAGGUAUGCGGAAUGCGCAGUGUAGCGGUGAAAUGCUUAGAUAUUGCGCAGAACUCCGAUUGCGAAGGCAGCUUGCUGGGUCGAUACUGACAUUGAGGCACGAAAGCGUGGGGAGCAAACAGGAUUAGAUACCCCAGUAGUC
rnacentral:rRNA from 1 species